GCAAAGGAGAAAUGCUCACUAACAGGGAUGUAAACACAUUUGUGCACAAAAUCUGAGAGAAAUAAGCUUUUGUGGGAACAUUUCUCGCUUAAUAUAUAUGCGGAUGAUACUAUGAUAUGCAAUUGCCCCGACUGCUGACCAACCUGGCUGUGACAAGGCUACUGUCUAUUUCAGGAAGCCCUUACUGAUUUAAAACUCAUACUUAAUACAGGCAAAACUGACUACACGCUGUUUUCAAGUUCUCGUAAGAUUGUCUCAGAUGGAUUACAUCUUCCUCACUCAUCGGGAUGGUUCUAUAAUCAAACAAGUCCCUACAUACAAAUACCAUGGUAUUUGGAUUGACAAUGAUUUAUCGUUAUUUUUUUUUACUAAAGAAUGUGUCUGUUUUUUAUGAUUAUGUUUUGCUUUUUGUGUAUUGUGUUGUAUAUUAAUCUGUAUAUGAAUGGGUUUAUAUUAAUGUGUAUAUGAAUGGGUUUAUAUUAAUGUGUAUAUGAAUGGGUAAUUUAAUGUGUUUAUUUAUAUGAAUGUGUAGUUGAAUGUGUUCAUUAUAUCUUGAUGUGUAUUGUGGUGCUAUCCAGGGUUUAGGCACACACUCCAGCACAUUAGGUGGUGGUAUUCAAGUUGAGUUCAUUUGUGAAGUUCCAAUACACUCAUAGAAG